AGAUGAGCAAAAGCUGCUAAAUUUGGAUCUGGAUCUGUGUUUCAGCCUCCUCGUUGUUGCUGGGUUCCUAGCUCCAUAGCGGUGUACGGAGGUCCAUCCUUAGCGGCAUUAUUCCUCUUAGUUCUUAAUGUUGCUUGGGGGAUAGAAAAGUUGGAAGGAAAUUGGCCAGCCUAGUCGAUGAGGAACAUGGAAAAGGUCAAAAUGAAUGAGCAGUGCCAGCUAUUGAGAGGAUGAGCCACGGAAGCAAGUGCUCAGACCCUUGGUUCAAUGGUUCAAAAUGGAGUUGGGGCAACAAGGGACAGAACCCGCUGGAGGAAGCUGAGGAGUCACCCACUAACCAUUAUGUGCUCAUCUGUAUUGGGGAGUGAUUCCCAAGAGAGGUUUUAUUGUAUGAUAA